rnacentral:rRNA from 1 species
GCUUAACACAUGCAAGUCGAGCGGAAAGGCCCUUCGGGGUACUCGAGCGGCGAACGGGUGAGUAACACGUGAGCAACCUGCCCCUGGCUCUGGGAUAGCCUCCGGAAACGGGGAUUAAUACCGGACAUUCUCCUUCUUCCGCAUGGUUGAGGGUGGAAAGUUUUUCGGCCAGGGAGGGGCUCGCGGCCUAUCAGCUUGUUGGCGGGGUAAUGGCCCACCAAGGCGACGACGGGUAGCCGGCCUGAGAGGGCGACCGGCCACACUGGGACUGAGACACGGCCCAGACUCCUACGGGAGGCAGCAGUGGGGAAUAUUGCGCAAUGGGCGGAAGCCUGACGCAGCGACGCCGCGUGGGGGAUGAAGGCCUUCGGGUUGUAAACCCCUUUCAGCAGGGACGAAGCGUGAGUGACGGUACCUGCAGAAGAAGCGCCGGCUAACUACGUGCCAGCAGCCGCGGUAAU